rnacentral:rRNA from 1 species
CCUACGGGAGGCAGCAGUGGGGAAUAUUGCACAAUGGGCGAAACCCUGAUCCAGCAACGCCGCGUGAGUGAGGAAGUAUUUCGGUAUGUAAAGCUCUAUCAGCAGGGAAUAGAAAAGAAGGUACCUGAAAAAGAAGCCCCGGCUAACUUCGUGCCAGCAGCCGCGGUAAUACGUAGGGGGCAAGCGUUUUCCGGAUUUACUGGGUGGAAAGGGAGCGUAGACGGAAAGGCAAGUCAGAAGUGAAAGCCCGAGGCUCAACCAUGGGACUGCUUUUGAAACUGUCAAACUAGAGUACGGGAGAGGUAAGAGGAAUUCCUAGUGUAGCGGUGAAAUGCGUAGAUAUUAGGAGGAACACCAGUGGCGAAGGCGUCUUACUGGACCGAAACUGACGUUGAGGCUCGAAAGCGUGGGGAGCAAACAGGAUUAGAUACCCGGGUAGUC